ACGGAAGGCAGCAGUGGGGAAUAUUGCACAAUGGGGGAAACCCUGAUGCAGCGAUGCCGCGUGAGGGAAGAAGGUUUUCGGAUUGUAAACCUCUGUCUUCAGGGACGAUAAUGACGGUACCUGAGGAGGAAGCUCCGGCUACUACGUGCCAGCAGCCGCGGUAAUACGUAGGGAGCGAGCGUUGUCCGGAAUUACUGGGUGUAAAGGGAGCGUAGGCGGGACUUUAAGUCAGAUGUGAAAUAUAUGGGCUCAACCCAUAGACUGCAUUUGAAACUGAGGUUCUUGAGUGAAGUAGAGGCAGGCGGAAUUCCUAGUGUAGCGGUGAAAUGCGUAGAUAUUAGGAGGAACACCAGUGGCGAAGGCGGCCUGCUGGGCUUUUACUGACGCUGAGGCUCGAAAGCGUGGGGAGCAAACAGGAUUAGAUACCCUGGUA
rnacentral:rRNA from 1 species